AUUCAACACAGUUUAUUCACAGUACAGAAGGUAUUAAAUAAAUAAGAUAAAUUAGGAAAUAAAAAUGCACAUGAAAAAUAAUUGUUAUAUUCUAAUUGCUUUCCAGGAG